rnacentral:lncRNA from 1 species
CUGGGUGAUGAGGAGAUCCACGAAGAAGAAGAGCUCGAGCUCGCUCAAGAAGUACAGGACAGUUCUUGGGAUCAUCAUAACCAUCACAGGGGAAUGAUUGAGACUGAAAGUGUAGUACCACCGAAAGAGCAAGGGGCAAUGAUGCAAGUUAUGGCAAAAUCCGAGCAAAUUGGUACAAACUCGAUUCCCCCACCACCUACUUCUGCAUCCAGUCAAAACCCUAAUCCUCCUCAAUCAACAUCUCAACAAUUGCCUGUGAGGACGCCAUCUCCGAGGCGUGCUCCACAAGUGAAGCCUGUGAAGCUUCCGAAGCCAAAGGCAAAAGAUCCUAAUAAGAGGGAGAUGAGUCUGGAAGAG